CAUCACCUCUAGCAUAUCAAGUAUUAGAGGCACUGCCUGCCCAGUGACUAACGUUAAACGGCCGCGGUAUCCUGACCGUGCAAAGGUAGCAUAAUCAUUUGUUCCUUAAUUAGGGACUGGAAUGAACGGCUUGACGAGGGUUUAACUGUCUCUUAUUUCUAAUCAGUGAAAUUGACCUCCCCGUGAAGAGGCGGGGAUUACAAAAUAAGACGAGAAGACCCUAUGGAGCUUUAAUUUACUAGUUUAAUUCUAAUAAUAAAUAACCUAUUGGUCCAACAUACAAAAAUAUAAACUAGUAAUUUUGGUUGGGGUGACCUCGGAGCAUAAAAAAACCUCCGAAUGAUUUUAACCAAGACCUACAAGUCUAAGUAACUAAAUAUCUUAUUGACCCAAAACUUUUUGAUCAACGGACCAAGUUACCCUAGGGAUAACAGCGCAAUCCUAUUCAAGAGUCCAUAUCGACAAUUAGGGUUUACGACCUCGAUGUUGGAUCAGGACAUCCCAAUGGUGCAGAAGCUAUUAAUGGUUCGUUUGUUCAACGAUUAAAGUCCUACGUGAUCA
rnacentral:rRNA from 1 species